rnacentral:rRNA from 1 species
GAACGCUAGCGGUGCGCCUAACACAUGCAAGUCGAGCGGUAGAAUUAUUAUUGAAUCUUCGGAUGAUUUAAUAAUUUGAGAGCGGCGAACGGGUGAGUAACACGUUGGUAUCUGCCCCCAAGUCAGGGAUAGCCAUUGGAAACGAUGAUUAAUACCGGAUAGUCUCUUCGGAGUAAAGAUUUAUUGCUUGGGGAGGAACCUGCGUUCUAUCAGCUAGUUGGUGAGGUAAAAGCUCACCAAGGCUAUGACGGAUACCUGGUCUGAGAGGAUGAUCAGGCACAAUGGAACUGAGACACGGUCCAUACUCCUACGGGAGGCAGCAGUGAGGAAUCUUCCACAAUGGGCGAAAGCCUGAUGGAGCGACACCGCGUGAAGGAUGAAGGCCUAACGGUUGUAAACUUCUUUUCUGAAGGAGCAUAAUGAGAGUACUUCAGGAAUAAGGGACGGCUAAAUACGUGCCAGCAGCCGCGGUAAUACGUAUGUCUCGAGCGUUACCCGGAAUCACUGGGUGUAAAGGGUUUGUAGGCGGCUUGUUAAGUUGGAUAUGAAAGACCGGAGCUCAACUCCGAGUUUGUGUUCAAAACUGGCAAGCUAGAAUCAAGGAGAGGUAAGCGGAAUUCUAAGUGUAGGGGUGCAAUCCGUAGAUACUUAGAGGAACACCAAAAGCGAAGGCAGCUUACUGGAAUUGUAUUGACGCUGAGGAACGAAAGCGUGGGGAGCGAAAAGGAUUAGAUACCCUUGUAGUCCACGCCCUAAACGAUGAUAACUAAGUGUUGUGUUUUCGGAUGCAG